GAUGAACGCUGGCGGCGUGCCUAAUACAUGCAAGUCGAGCGAACAGACGAGGAGCUUGCUCCUCUGACGUUAGCGGCGGACGGGUGAGUAACACGUGGAUAACCUACCUAUAAGACUGGGAUAACUUCGGGAAACCGGAGCUAAUACCGGAUAAUAUAUUGAACCGCAUGGUUCAAUAGUGAAAGACGGUUUUGCUGUCACUUAUAGAUGGAUCCGCGCCGCAUUAGCUAGUUGGUAAGGUAACGGCUUACCAAGGCAACGAUGCGUAGCCGACCUGAGAGGGUGAUCGGCCACACUGGAACUGAGACACGGUCCAGACGCCUACGGGAGGCAGCAGUAGGGAAUCUUCCGCAAAGGGCGAAAGCCUGACGGAGCAACGCCGCGUGAGUGAUGAAGGUCUUCGGAUCGUAAAACUCUGUUAUUAGGGAAGAACAAAUGUGUAAGUAACUAUGCACGUCUUGACGGUACCGAAUCAGAAAGCCACGGCUAACUACGUG
rnacentral:rRNA from 1 species